GAAAGAUUAAUACCCGAUGGCAUAGUUCUUCCGCAUGGUAGAACUAUUAAAGAUUUCGGUCAUCGAUGGGGAUGCGUUCCAUUAGGUUGUUGGCGGGGUAACGGCCCNCCAAGCCUUCGAUGGAUAGGGGUUCUGAGAGGAAGGUCCCCCACAUUGGAACUGAGACACGGUCCAAACUCCUACGGGAGGCAGCAUG
rnacentral:rRNA from 1 species